rnacentral:rRNA from 1 species
UACGUAGGGUGCAAGCGUUGUCCGGAAUUAUUGGGCGUAAGGAGCUCGUAGGCGGUCAGUCGCGUCUGCUGUGAAAACUCGGGGCUUAACCCCGGGCCUGCAGUGGGUACGGGCUGACUAGAGUGCGGUAGGGGAGACUGGAAUUCCUGGUGUAGCGGUGAAAUGCGCAGAUAUCAGGAGGAACACCAAUUGCGAAGGCAGCUCGCUGGAACGUAACUGACGCUGAGACGCGAAAGCGUGGGGAGCAAACAGG